GCCGAGGUGGCGGAAUUGGCAGACGCGCUAGGUUCAGGGUCUAGUGCUCGCAAGGGCGUGCAGGUUCGACUCCUGUCCUCGGCA
rnacentral:tRNA from 1 species